ACAACUAGGAUGUUGGCUUAGAAGCAGCCACUCAUUUAAAGAGUGCGUAAUAGCUCACUAGUCAAGAGAUCCUGCGCCGAAGAUGUCCGGGGCUCAAACUUACCACCGAAGCUAUGGGUGUACACUACGUGUACGCGGUAGGGGAGCUUUCUGUAUGGGUUGAAGUCGUACCGUAAGGAGCGGUGGACUGUACAGAAGUGAGAAUGCUGGCAUAAGUAGCGAGAAAUAAGUGAGAAUCUUAUUGGCCGAAAACCUAAGGUUUCCUGAGGAAGGUUCGUCCGCUCAGGGUUAGUCGGGACCUAAGCCGAGGCCGAAAGGCGUAGGUGAUGGACAAUCGGUUGAUAUUCCGAUACCACCUAUUUACGUUUGAGAAAUGGGGUGACGCAGUAGGAUAAGAUGUGCGCACUAUUGGAUGUGCGUCUAAGCACUUAGGCAUGCUUGAUAGGCAAAUCCGUCGAGCUAAGCUGAGGUGUGAUGGGGAGCCAUUUAUGGCGAAGUAUCUGAUUCCACACUGCCAAGAAAAGCCUCUAUCGAGUGAAUAGGUGCCCGUACCGCAAACCGACACAGGUAGGUGAGGAGAGAAUCCUAAGGCCAUCGGAAGAAUUGCUGUUAAGGAACUCGGCAAAUUGACCCCGUAACUUCGGGAGAAGGGGUGCCUACGAAAGUAGGCCGCAGAGAAUAGGCCCAAGCAACUGUUUAGCAAAAACACAGGUCUCUGCUAAAGCGAAAGCUGAUGUAUAGGGGCUGACGCCUGCCCGGUGCUGGAAGGUUAAGGGGAACACUUAGCGUAAGCGAAGGUGUGAACUUAAGCCCCAGUAAACGGCGGC
rnacentral:rRNA from 1 species